UGUUGGUGCUCCCGCAAUGCUAACUUGUGAACUCGGUCAGAUCCGGAAGGAAGCAGCCGCAGCAGGUGACGCGUGUGCCGGGAUGUCGCUGGCAGGG
rnacentral:SRP_RNA from 1 species